ensembl:misc_RNA Metazoa_SRP Metazoan signal recognition particle RNA
GCUGGGCGUGGUGGCACAUGCCUGUAGUCCCAGCCACUCAGGAGGCUGAGGCAGGAGGAUUGCCUGAGCCCAGGAGGUCAAGGCUGCAGUGAGCUAUAAUCAUGCCACUGUACUCCAGCCUGGGCAACAGAGCAAGACUCUGUCUUAA